AAGUGCGCGCCUCGCCGAGGACGAAGAGGCUGGCGUGCCCGGUGGCUCGGCUAGCUCCCGGGUCCCGGCCCCGCCUGGAGGGUGGGUCCGCCGAUUACUCACUUUGUUUUUAGGGGAUUUCAGGGCCCCCUCCCGCCGAUCGGCGGAGUUUGGUGAUGUCACUCUGGGCCGGGUCUGGAGCAAAGCCAGGGCUACUGGGCUGCGGCCGCCCGCCCCGCGCAGGGAAAAGCCCGACCGGGCCUUCUGCUCCGCAGAGGCCGGGUGGUUGAACUCCGCGCGGGUUUCCUAACCGCUAAAGGUGCCUUUCGGUGGUGGCUGUCUCAGAAGCACGUUAAAAUGUCCUACCCACCCCAAUCUAGAUGCGGCUGUGGGGGAAUGGGAGCGGCCGGACCUCCCAGCCUGACAGUGCAUCAAGAGCUUUGCGGAGCCUACAGCCCGGAUGGGACGACUGAGGCCCUCCCGCUGGCGAGCUGGCCGAGGGCUCGUCCCUCUCCAGCUAAAGCGCCAGCUUACGAUACAGCCAAACUGCCGGCUCUCAUCGGCUGUGGGAGCAGGAGGCCCCCAGGGGUAAAUCCCGGAGCCUCGUCUCUGAAGCCUGGCGCUUGUGUCUCAGAAGGUGCGGGACCCACAGGGACACUUGAAUCAGCAGGCUCACGACCCCCCACCCCCCUGCCCCCGCCUGUGUUUGCCCUGGACCUCCAGCUAGGGCUGACCACUAAUUCUGUCAUGUGACCCCACAGUGCAGGUAGCUCCCCCAAGACCAAGCCCAAGGCGCGUCCGUGUGGAGGCUGGGGCUGACGCACCCCCACCCCAGGCCUCAUCCCCAAAGGAGGAUGCUCCACUGCAGGGGGCGGAGUCUUCUCCAGAUGGAGAAAGACUUUUUUAUUUUCUCUGAAUUCGUCUUAAAUUAGGAAAUCAUGUGGGAAUUGGAAAAGAUUGGAAAUUCUGACUUGUUUCCCAGGCUCUGAAGAAACAGGAAGAGAAAAGUGAAAAUAGAGUUAGCACCCCGCCCACUCAUUUCAGUUUCUCCAGUGGCUGGCCCUGAUUAGAAAAGUGUUUACUUUUGGCAGGGGGCGGGGGAGGCCGACUUCAGGUGACAGAAUGGAUUAAUUAAAAUCUUUGGUUAAUGAUAUACAAUUAUCAUU
rnacentral:lncRNA from 10 species